CACAUAGAAGUAACGAGUUGGAGCUGCAAUGUCGUUUCCAAGAUUCAGCUUGAUGAGCUUUUGGUGCACUUGUACCGAUCUUUUGACGGGACAGGCGUCACUGCUUCUGCUUACUGAGUGCAUUUCUUGGACAUGAGCACUGCGACCGGUAUCUGUGCUGGUAGAAGCUUGGAAUAUCGUGGGCAGGCCAAUUCGGUAUCUGAUUCCCAUUUUUCAAUGCCUACCUGGUUGCGGGGACCGUGUAAUACUUGCACUGGCUUGUCUCAGUGUGCAGGGUAAAGCGUUGACUGAAAUUCUGUAGUCUGCUUGCAGGCUAUGGUAACCCUUAGCGCUUGUACUUUGUAUUGCUGACUUGGUGCAAAGUGUCUGCAGUGUAUGUGUCAGCCACCCAACUCACCCGUCUUGAAACACGGACCAAGGAGUCUAACAUGUGCGCGAGUCAUUGGGUGGUAAACUCAAAGGCGCAAUGAAAGUAAGCUCCUUCUGGAGUGAAGUACGAUUCUCGUUUUAAGCGAGACGCAGUACUGUCCUGUCUUAUCUGCAUUGUCGGUUAGGCAGAGAAAGAGCGUACAUGUUGGGACCCGAAAGAUGGUGAACUAUSCCUGAGCAGGAUGAAGCCAGAGGAAACUCUGGUGGAGGUCCGUAGCGAUUCUGACGUGCAAAUCG
rnacentral:rRNA from 1 species